rnacentral:rRNA from 1 species
AUUGAACGCUGGCGGCAGGCCUAACACAUGCAAGUCGAGCGGAUGAAGGGAGCUUGCUCCUGGAUUCAGCGGCGGACGGGUGAGUAAUGCCUAGGAAUCUGCCUGGUAGUGGGGGAUAACGUCCGGAAACGGGCGCUAAUACCGCAUACGUCCUGAGGGAGAAAGUGGGGGAUCUUCGGACCUCACGCUAUCAGAUGAGCCUAGGUCGGAUUAGCUAGUUGGUGGGGUAAAGGCCUACCAAGGCGACGAUCCGUAACUGGUCUGAGAGGAUGAUCAGUCACACUGGAACUGAGACACGGUCCAGACUCCUACGGGAGGCAGCAGUGGGGAAUAUUGGACAAUGGGCGAAAGCCUGAUCCAGCCAUGCCGCGUGUGUGAAGAAGGUCUUCGGAUUGUAAAGCACGUUAAGUUGGGAGGAAGAGCAGUAAGUUAAUACCUUGCUGUUUUGACGUUACCAACAGAAUAAGCACCGGCUAACUUCGUG